rnacentral:rRNA from 1 species
UACGGAGGGUGCGAGCGUUAAUCGGAAUUACUGGGCGUAAAGCGUACGCAGGCGGUUGAUUAAGCGAGAUGUGAAAUCCCUAGGCUCAACCUAGGAACUGCAUUUCGAACUGGUCAACUAGAGUAUGAGAGAGGGUGGUAGAAUUUCAGGUGUAGCGGUGAAAUGCGUAGAGAUCUGAAGGAAUACCGAUGGCGAAGGCAGCCACCUGGUUCAAUACUGACGCUCAUGUACGAAAGCGUGGGGAGCAAACAGG